GAAAAAGUGACAGUAAAUUUGGCAUCUUCUCCCAUUUGAUUGUCUUAAUCCACAGCUCUCUCUUUUCCCCCUCUUCUAGUAAGUCAUUCAAAUUUAAGAAUGGAGUUUUUCUUUUGGUAUUGGAGCAAAUGGAGGGAAAACACAAAUUGCAACUGUUAGGAUGUCAUCAGUGUCAGGGGCGGACUGGCCAUCGGGAGAACGGGGACUUUUCCCAGGGCUGGCCGUGAAACGGGUCAACUCGUUAUGCCGAACGGGCCGCUACUGGCUGAAGGGGCAGCAAAAAAGUGCCAUGAUAUGCUGAAGGGUGCCACUAUAUGCAGAAAAGGACAGCGACACCAAUCUUUCUCCUGUCUGAUGUUCUGGCAAGGGAAUGGGACAGUACUUGUCUUUCCAGGACGUUGCUUUUUGCAUUGGUCUGCUCAUCAGCCACUGGACUGUGGGGGCAGAUGAGCCAACGCCUGCCACGGUCUGCGAGCCAGAGCCAACGCCUGCCACGGUCUGCGAGCCUGAGCCCACGCCAGCCACGGUCAGCGAGCCUGAGCCCACGCCAGCCACGGUCAGCGAGCCUGAGCCCACGCCAGCCACGGUCAGUGAGCCUGAGUCCACGCCAGGCCUCCGCCUCUAGAGCCUCCUACGGCACCACCUCCCUCGGCUCAGCCUCCAGAGCCUCCUACUGCUCCGCCUCCCACGGUUCAACCUCCCGAACCUGUCCUUGCCCUGUGGCCGCCUGCUGAACCUGUCCUUGCCCUGUGGCCAGCUCCCAGGCCUCCUGAACCUGUCCUUGCCCUGUGGCCUGCUCCAAGGCCUCCUGAACCUGUCCUUGUCCUGUGGCCUGCUCCAAGGCCUCCUGAACCUGUCCUUGUCCUGUGGCCGCCUGCCAGGCCUCCUGAACCUGUCCUUGACCUGUGGCCAGCUCUCAGGCCUCCUGAACCUGUCCUUGCCCUGUGGCCAGCUCCCAGGCCACCUGACCCAGUCCUCGUCUUGUGCUCCCCAUGGACUGCCUACCUACCCUCUGUGCCCCCUUGGACUGCCUGUCUGCCCCUUGUGCUCCCGUGGACUGCCUACCUACCCUCUGUGCCCCCUUGGACUGUCUGUCUGCCUCUUGUGCCCCCUUGGACUGCCCGUCUGCCCUCUGUGCCCCCUUGGUCUGCCAGUCCCCCCCUCAUUCCUUGGACGAUUUUGUUUUGUUUUUUUGUGUAUGUUUUGUUUUGUUUAGGAUCGUCUGGAAUCUGAUCCUUUGAGGGGGGGUUAUGUUACGAUCCCUGGUUGUCUGCCCCGUGUUUUCUGUGUCACCGUCACCAUGUUUCCCUGUCCUCAUCAUUCUGUCAUUGUUCGCACCUGAUUGUCGUUUGUAUCAUCAUGUGUCUGUGUACUUAAACCCUGCUGUUCCUCCAUUCCCUUGUCGUUCGUUGUUCUGACUGUUUUGAUGUCUCUGAAGGUUCCGAUGUUUACUCUUGUUUCCUGUCUUGCCAUGUUCAUCCUGCCUUGUUUACCCAGUCCGUGUUCCUUCGUUGUUUUCAUGUUUUAGUUUCAGUUUUCCCAUCGUGGUUGUUUCAUUUGUUCUUGUCUGUUUAUUUCCACUAUUGUUCAAUAAACCCGCUUAUAGAUCCUCACUCCUCGUCUGCCUCCUUCUGCCAAACGUCACAGUCCAUGAUAUUAGGAUUGCCAACUUUUUUACCAGCCAGAUACGGAAAAUUCCAGCUCUCAAUACCGGCCUUUUUUUUUUUCAAUAGACUCCUGCACAAGACACUGAGCAACAUUUAAUGAAGUUCAUUUAGAGCUAGUUAUAGGAAUACAUUUGUAAAAAAAGUGCGGAUGGACACAAAAAUGCAUAUGGUGUGAACAGCCCCUAAAAUGCUUAAAAUUAUAACCACUUUAAUACAACGACUGGGAAGAACCAAAUCUCUAUCAAUCCUCUGAUUAGAAUACAAUUAAUCCUGCACUGGUUUCAAGUUAGCCAGACCUAUCUCAACCCUUUUAAUGAUUAAAAAGUCCUGUCUCUUCCAUCUCCCUCUUUCAUUUGUUAAUCGGUUUACCAUCUCAGCUCUUCGUACAUUCUCCUACUCUCUCUUUUUAACAUGUCUUUUCAUAUAGAGGUAUUCUCGUGCUAUAGAUUUUGAUUCAACUUAAAAGAAAAUAAAUAAAUAAAA